GCUGCGGUUAUACUUUAAGGUUAAGUAAAACUUUAUUGGUUGUAGUUAAAAUGUAUAAAUGAUAUUAGUUUUUAAAAAAUAAAAGGUGAAAUUAGAUUAUUUAUUAUAAAAACAAGAAAAAUUUUUUUUGAAGCUAAAAUUUUUUAGGUUAAAACUAGGAUUAGAUACCCUACUAUUCUAAAAAGCAAUUUAUUACUAACUAAAUGAUUAAUAGAUAUAUUCUUUAAAAUUAAAGAAUUUGGCGGUAAUUUAGUCUUGUUAGAGGAACCUGUUUAUUAAAUCGAUAAACCACGAAAUAUCUUACUUAUUCUUGUGUUAGUUUGUAUACCAUCAUUAUCAGAUAAUUUUUAUAGAAAAAAUUAUUAAGUUCAUAAAAAUUAAUAAAAUUAGAUCAAGGUGCAGCUUAUGAAUAAGCUUGAAUGGGUUACAAUAAAUUAUAAUUAAAUGGAAUAAAAUUUUAAAAUUUUUAUGAAGGAGGAUUUAAUUGUAAUAAAAGUUUAAAAUGCUUUUAUGAUAUAAGCUCUAAAUUAUGUACAUAUCGCCCGUCGCUUUCAUAUAAUUAUAUGAGAUAAGUCG
rnacentral:rRNA from 1 species